rnacentral:rRNA from 2 species
UGGGGAAUAUUGGACAAUGGGCGGAAGCCUGAUCCAGCCAUGCCGCGUGUGUGAAGAAGGCCUUUUGGUUGUAAAGCACUUUAAGCGAGGAGGAGGCUACUUGGAUUAAUACUCUAGGAUAGUGGACGUUACUCGCAGAAUAAGCACCGGCUAACUCUGUGCCAGCAGCCGCGGUAAUACAGAGGGUGCGAGCGUUAAUCGGAUUUACUGGGCGUAAAGCGUGCGUAGGCGGCUUCUUAAGUCGGAUGUGAAAUCCCUGAGCUUAACUUAGGAAGUGCAUUCGAUACUGGGAAGCUAGAGUAUGGGAGAGGAUGGUAGAAUUCCAGGUGUAGCGGUGAAAUGCGUAGAGAUCUGGAGGAAUACCGAUGGCGAAGGCAGCCAUCUGGCCUAAUACUGACGCUGAGGUACGAAAGCAUGGGGAGCAAACAGG